GGCGAACGCUGGCGGCGUGCUUAACACAUGCAAGUCGAACGGAAAGGCCCUGCUUUUGUGGGGUGCUCGAGUGGCGAACGGGUGAGUAACACGUGAGUAACCUGCCCUUGACUUUGGGAUAACUUCAGGAAACUGGGGCUAAUACCGGAUAGGAGCUCCUGCUGCAUGGUGGGGGUUGGAAAGUUUCGGCGGUUGGGGGUGGACUCGCGGCUUAUCAGCUUGUUGGUGGGGUAGUGGCUUACCAAGGCUUUGACGGGUAGCCGGCCUGAGAGGGUGACCGGCCACAUUGGGACUGAGAUACGGCCCAGACUCCUACGGGAGGCAGCAGUGGGGAAUAUUGCACAAUGGGCGGAAGCCUGAUGCAGCAACGCCGCGUGCGGGAUGACGGCCUUCGGGUUGUAAACCGCUUUCGCCUGUGACGAAGCGUGAGUGACGGUAAUGGGUAAAGAAGCACCGGCUAACUACGUG
rnacentral:rRNA from 1 species